GGUUAAGUGAAUAAGGGCGCACGGUGGAUGCCUUGGCACUAGGAGCCGAUGAAGGACGGGACUAACACCGAUAUGCUUUGGGGAGCUGUAAGUAAGCUAUGAUCCAGAGAUUUCCGAAUGGGGGAACCCAAUAUCUUUUAUAGGAUAUUACUUUUCAGUGAAUACAUAGCUGAUUAGAGGUAGACGCAGAGAACUGAAACAUCUUAGUACCUGCAGGAAGAGAAAGAAAAUUCGAUUCCCUGAGUAGCGGCGAGCGAAACGGGAAGAGCCCAAACCAACAAGCUUGCUUGUUGGGGUU
rnacentral:rRNA from 1 species